rnacentral:lncRNA from 10 species
CUAGCUUUCAUGGAGACCCUAUUAGCAAAAGGGCAUCAAUUUGUUUACCCAUUUCUGGUUGCUACUGGUGCGCCUGUAGAAUUGAUGUUUGCGUUACCAGCUUUCUGGCUGCUAUGUUGAGACAUCAUCAGAUUAUAAAUGUACUUGGGUGUGUAAUACUUUAGGUAAAGAUGGAUAUAAAAGGUAAUAGAAGAGUAAACAAGGCAAGAUUUUCUAGUGCAAAUUGGAGCACUAAAGUCUAGCAGGAAUGGAGAAUCCCAUCCUGUUUAAAACUCUAACAAAGAAGAGGGACAGUUUGAAUGAGUGUGGAGAAAACUGAGGUGGUCACCAGUACGCCAGUUCCAUUUCUGAUUCAACUGAAGCCUUUACUUAGUCAUCCCACCUGCUUUUAGAUUUCUCCAUGUGCCAAGAAAGUAAGUUCCCUUUUACGGGAGCUGUAUUGAUCAUUUCUGAUAAAUCAACUAAAUGGGAUGAGUUGCUCAUUUAGUAAGAUGCAUUGUCACUUGCUCAUUGCUGCAAGAGAUAUUUGUGCACAUUUACACUGUGUGAGCAGGUGCACCUGGAGCGUGAAGGUAAAUGACAGCUCCUUGGUUCCAGCUGCUGGGAGGAUGCACUCUAAGAGGAGAGAAGAGGUGAGCACAAAACUAGCCACGCUCAGGGCAGAGCAUGGUCAGCAUCAGAGGAGAGUUAGAAAGUGAGGGCAUUUAGAUUGAUUCCAUGCCAACCUAGAUGCCCAUCAAUGACAGAUUGGAUAAAGAAAAUGCAGUACGUAUACACCAUGGAAUACUAUGCAGCCAUAAAAAGAAUGAGAUCAUGUCUUUUGUGGGAACAUGGAUGAAGCUGGAGGGUAUUAUCCUUAGCAAAAUAACACAGGAACAGAAAACCAAAUACUGCAUGUUCUCACUUAUAAGUGGGAGAUAAAUGAUGAGAACUCAUGACCACAAAGAAGGAACAACAGACCCUGGGGUCUACUUGAAGGGGGAGGAGGGAGAGGAGCCGAACAGAUAACUAUUGGGUACUGGACUUAAUGCAUGGGUGAUGAAAUAAUCUGUAUAACAAACGCUUGGAACGUGAGUUUACCAAUAUAACAAACGUGCACAGGUACCCCUGAACCUAAAAUAAAAGUUAAAAAAGAAAGGGUGGUUCCUCUGGGCAAGAAACGGUUCCCACCAGGAGGUGAUAUUUGAGCUUUAACAUCUAG